UACGUAGGGUGCAAGCGUUGUCCGGAAUUAUUGGGCGUAAAGAGCUCGUAGGCGGUCUGUCGCGUCGGCUGUGAAAACUCGGGGCUCAACUCCGAGCUUGCAGUCGAUACGGGCAGGCUAGAGUUCGGCAGGGGAGACUGGAAUUCCUGGUGUAGCGGUGAAAUGCGCAGAUAUCAGGAGGAACACCGGUGGCGAAGGUGGGUCUCUGGGCCGAUACUGACGCUGAGGAGCGAAAGCGUGGGGAGCGAACAGG
rnacentral:rRNA from 1 species